rnacentral:rRNA from 1 species
CCUACGGGAGGCAGCAGUGGGGAAUAUUGGGCAAUGGGCGCAAGCCUGACCCAGCAACGCCGCGUGAAGGAAGAAGGCUUUCGGGUUGUAAACUUCUUUUCUCAGGGACGAAGAAAGUGACGGUACCUGAGGAAUAAGCCACGGCUAACUACGUGCCAGCAGCCGCGGUAAUACGUAGGUGGCAAGCGUUAUCCGUAUUUCCUGGUUGUAAAGGGAUGGUAGGCGGGACAGCAAGUCAGAUGUGAAAACCAUGGGCUCAACCUGCGGACUGCAUUUGAAACUGUUCUUCUUGAGUUCUGGAGAGGCAGACGGAAUUCCUAGUGUAGCGGUGAAAUGCGUAGAUAUUAGGAGGAACACCAGUGGCGAAGGCGGUCUGCUGGACAGCAACUGACGCUGAGGCGCGAAAGCGUGGGGAGCAAACAGGAUUAGAUACCCGGGUAGUC